UACGGAGGGGGCAAGCGUUGUUCGGAAUCAUUGGGCGUAAAGGGCGCGUAGGCGGCCGAUCAAGUCGGGUGUGAAAUCCCUCGGCUCAACCGAGGAACUGCACUCGAUACUGAUCGGCUCGAGUCCGGGAGGGGAUGGUGGAAUUCCCAGUGUAGCGGUGAAAUGCGUAGAUAUUGGGAAGAACACCGGUGGCGAAGGCGGCCAUCUGGACCGGAACUGACGCUGAGGCGCGAAAGCCAGGGGAGCGAAUGGG
rnacentral:rRNA from 1 species